CUCUUCUUUUUGUCUGUGUUGUUCUGAAUCUAAACACUCCUACCCUAUGGGCUUGUCCUCUAAAACUCUCAACAACAGGCACUAACUGAUAUUCUCUCACCUUUGCUCUCUCUGCCUCUCUUUCUCUCUCACACUUGCCCUCUCUCACCCCUGCCACUCUCUGCUUCGCCUCUCUCUAUCACUUGCCCUCUCUCACCAUCUCUGACCCUCUCUCCCUCCCUCACUCUCUCAUUUGCCGUCUCUCACCCUCUCUAUCUCCCUCACUCUCUCAUUUGCCAUCUCUCACCCUCUCUGCCCCUCUCCCUCCCUCACUCUCUCUCUCUCACUCUCUCCUCACUGCUCCCCCUCUCUUUCUGUGGCGCACUUUCACUUUCUGCCUUGUUUACCUUCUCUCACUCUUGGCCCUCCCUCCUUUCUCUAGAACAGAGUAGGGUGCACACAGUGCACACGCUCAACCUCCUACUGUCUCUCCUACUUCGUUUUUCUCUCACUCUGCCUGAGUCUCCCAUGGCUGACUGUCUCUCUGUCUUCAGUGAAGCUGGCGCUGUCUCUCUGUCUGUGUGUCUGUCCCCUGUGUGCAGCACAUGUUGAUGAGCUUCCUGUGGUGUGCCUACUGGGUAGACUUGGGUAACCUGUCCUCUGUGGGACUGGGGACUGGCAUGCACACCAUCCUCCUGUACCUGGGUCCACACAUAGCUUCAGUGAUCCUUGCAGCAUAUGAAUGUAGUUCAGUGGACUUCCCGGAGCCCCCCUACCCAGAGAAGAUCAUCUGCCCCCAGGAGGAAUUCCUGUUGGGGGAGACUGAGGCCGGGGUCCGGGGGGGGGGGGCAGCAGCAGCUGUACAGUGAGGCAUCUCCUUCUGGACCAUCAUCGUCAAGGUCCGCCUGGAAGCCUGCAUGUGGAUGAGUCUACUGUAACUAGAGCUGCUCCCUUACUUCAUGGCGUAGACAGCGAGGCUAUCUGGAGCAGACCCUGGUGAUAAAGACUACGACAAGUUUUAAGUUGCUGGAGCAGGCCGAGACUCCACAGGACUUGCAGUGCAAGUGCAGAAAAUGGUUCAGAGGGUUGGAUUCUUUGUAAUUCUAGUCUGCGCCUCUAUUACCAAUCCAAUGUUUGACCUGGCAGAUAUAACAUGGUUUCCUUUCGGACCUUUUUUUGGAGCAACGCUAUUUGGGAAAGCCACAUUCAGAAACUGUUUGUGAUCAUAACCUUCAGCAGGCACAUAGUGGAGCAGAUGGUGUCUCUGAUUGGGCCAAGACAACCCACCUGGCCAUCACAACGUGGCUUCAUGUGUUCAUGUCCAAGCUGUGGAGCUACUCAUCUAUUUAUGAAUCAGUUUGUUUUAUUCUGUGAUGAUUUUAGCCUUGUUGAUGAAUUCAGCCACAAACAACGAUUAUGUUGUAUGCCUUGAUAUAACAGCACAAUUCCUGUCUGAUCUUAGUCAGCAUCAUUAGUGUUUUGUAUAAUGUAGCAUCAGACUGUGGUCUGUUAUGAUGCUCAAGUCUGUAUGAUGCUGACUUCAGCACUUCUCCCCAGAGCUUGAAGACCAGUCAUCAAAGAACAGUCCAGUCCAACUCUGAUCCUCCUGAGUCCCGAGUCACAGGCCUGAUUUUACGGCUCUGCCUGUCCGUUUAUAAGAACACGAAGCAGGGCAGGGCACAGCUCCAACUAAGGCCACUCAUUCAACAUUAACACAAACAAAGAAAUUGUAAAAAUGCCCAUUCAGAACAAUGGCAGCCAAGGUAAUGAGUCAAAGGAUGUGUUUUAGUAGGGGGUUGUGUGUAAAUAGGGGUUAUUUAUAAAAACGUACCGUAAAACUGUUUUACAUUUACUACCUGUUGUUCCCAACGGGUAAUUUCCCCAUACAAAGCGCCUAGACUAAAUAACAACUAUUGGCUCUCUUAUACAUAUUUAACACCUUGAGGCAGACAUCGGUGUUCAAUUUGAUUAGAUUAGAUUAGUCUUAUUUUUUUGACAAAUGAAUGGAAGAAUCUGUUACUUGAUUGUACUUGCAUGUUAUUUAGUAAUUAUUGAUCAUUCUUUGCAUGUUUAGUCAUUUUUCCCAUUAGUCAUCAACUAAUGGUUUUAAAUGUUUUAUGUUUUGUUUAUUUAUAUUGAGAAUCUAAAUGUAGUCACUGUUUUUCAAUGUUUUCUGGUUUUGCUUGGUUGACCAUAAAUACCUUUUCGCCUGAGGUAAUAACAGUGGUUGUAAAGCACUUGUACUAGCAAUAAAAAAAAGCUAUUUUGUAGUGAAAAUGGCUAAAACUGUAUUGUUGUGGCAUUAGGAGGAAGUAGAUCUUGAACAGCACUUUCACUGGCUGUCUGUACGUUAGAUAGACACACAUCCUGCCCAACGUGUAUGCACAACCUAGCCCUAGCCUCAAACCUGAAACUAACUAUUACUGUGCACAAAAUGUUGUUACUUGUUAUUGUGUUAUUUUUUAGUGAUAUAAUGUAAGCACCACAGGGGUGGGGCACAGACCCCCAUCCACAUCGAUGGGGCUGCAGUUGAAAAGGUUGGGUCCCUCAAAUCCUCAAAAAGUUCUACAUCUGCACCUUUGAGAGCAUCUUCACUGACUGCAUCACUGCUUGGUAUGGCAACAGCACCUCGAUCGCAUGGCGCUACAGAGGGUGGUGCGGACAGCCCAGUACUUCACUGGGGCCGAGCUCCCUGCCAUCCAGAAUUUGAUUUGAUAUUAGGCGGUGUGAAUGGAAGGGCAGGCAAAUUGUUAAAGACUCCAGCCACCCAAGCGAUUAGACUGCUCUCCCUGCUUCCUUAUGGCAAGUGGUGCCGGUGUAUCAAGUCUGACACCGACAGCCUCAAUAAUAGUUUAUAUCCCCAAGCCAUUAGACUGCUAAAUAGCUAACAGAAUGGCUACACAUGCACACACAUACACACAAUCAUCAUUUACUCUGCUGCUACUCUGUUUAUCAUAUAUCCUGAUGCCUCGUCACCUUACCCGUAUACAUACAUGUAUCUACCUCUAUCACUCCAGUAUCCCUGCACAUUGUUAAUGGUAUUGGAACCGACUCUGUAUAAAGCUUCUUACUUUCUUGUG